CUCCAACAAUGACCAAGGAGCUUUUGAAAUUAGAAUGUUUACAAAAUUCAUGUAAAAUCACCUGAGAUUAAAUUUAAAUGUGUACGCCCACCUAGUGUACAUUCUGAAUCUUGUUAGAGGUCAGUAGGUCUGCCAUUACCUGUAUGACCUUUGACCCCAAAGGAAUAAGGUAUGUGAUGUUAUUUGAGGUAUUUUAACUGAAUUAUUAUUGCAAUGUGAUAUUUUCCCAUAAGUGCAAUGUGACCUUACUGCUGCCUACCUAAUUAAUGGAAGUUAUUAGUAAUAACGGAAAGUAAAAUUGAUAAAGAUUGUGCACUGCAGAAGGUAUUUUGUUUGUAUUUGUGUGUUUGUAUCGUGGUGUUAGUCUUAUUUGUUCAAAAUAAAACUUCUAAAAUGUGUUUGAAUAAAUGUUUGAAAGAAAGAAUUAAGAUGAAUCUUCCUCAUUACAGACGGGUCACUGGGGGGAGAGAUGGCUUUCAAAAGAUCUGGAACAUUAACAAUGGUCAGUGUGUGAAGAUAUGUACAUUCUAAUUCAUAUCUCACAGUAUAAAGGUGGUGUUAGGAGCAUUACAGACUGGUCACCGGGGAGAGAGAUGGCUUUCUAAAGAUCUGGAACAUUAACAAUGGUCAGUGUGUGAAGAUAUGAACAAGGGUGAGUACAUUCUAAUCCAUAUCUUAUAGUAUAAAGCUGGUGUUAGGAGCAUUGCAGUGUUUUUUUGUCUCUGUUAUAUGCUGCAUAAGAUGAUUUGGUAACACUUUACUGUAGCCCCCUUAUGUAUGGAUUCAUAACGCCGUUAUUACACCUAUUUAAGUCAUUAUAACAGUCAUCAUAGUCAUUUUAAACAACGGCAUAAGCCAUUAUAAAGGUAACUAUAACUGCCAUUAUAGAUUACGGGCUAGUUUGUUUUUGUCCCUUAUGUCAACUGCCUCCAUUACACAGGCUAUAUAACCACUAAUGUGCUAUAAUAUAACAUUAACAUUUCACACAGAUGGGGAGUCCAACGAGGUGUGUGACUGCACCUACCUGACAGUCCACAGAAACACUCUAGGUUCUAGCAGCAGAUCACUAAACUGGCAGUGACAAAGGAAGACACAUCAUUGUACGCGCCCAACCAACUUGGCUAUGUCUAUCUUAAAUGACAUGAAGACAUACGCUCUUGGCUCAGAAAACCCCAUGAGAGGUUGCAGAUUGUUGACAAUGACCAAGUACUGCUUACCUCGUCUAUAGACUGCACUGUGGGCCUGUGGAGUGCCUAUGGAGUGUUCUUAGUGGGACAAUUGGAGCAUCCACACACCUUCCUCCUUGAAGCAUCCUGACUUUCCCUAUGAGAUCCUGAUCGACCCUCUGAGCAUGCCAGCUCACCCCAUCCUGGAGGGAGAAACCAGAGUGUCCGAUGUCAUUAACGCUAAUGAAUCUGAGGCCACUAGCGCCGAGGCAAAGUUCGACUCGCCCAGCAAGCUUAGACACCCUCGACUGUCCAUCAGCGACACAGACAUCAAGGAGGAGAUGAAAACCUCUUGUUACACAGAAGAACAUGGGAAAUGGCUCCGACAUUAAAUAUUCAAGCGUACUAACAAGCCACCCAGUCAUGGCGGACCCAAGACCUACCACACUCUCAAGUACUUUCAUAUCGUCGACACCCCGACCACCUGCGAGAGGCCUGAUCUUUCCCUGGCUGGCAUAGAUCCUUUCAUGUCCAGCUUUGUGGAACAGGAGUCGGUCAAAUGACAAUAACUGUGACCAUAGGUCCUGUGCACUCAACAUGCUUCAAGGACAGAGGUAUUACAACACCAUCACAAGUAAUCAGAACAGCUGAAAUGUGAGCUGUUGCACAACUUUAGAGAUUUGCACAGUUUUGGAUUGUUUAGGGGAAACCGUCGAUGGCUGUCACACUUCUUACUAAUUUCUCAGCACCAGUAUUUCUUGCAAUACUAUUUUUAACAUUAAGAGAAAGACCAAGAUCUUUGGUUCCAACAAGGAGUUAUUAGCCAUUAAACACACUCUGUCCACUUGUGACAGGUGAGCCCCGUCCCGGGGUUGGUUGUAACAGUGUUUGCCAUUUGUUUUUCAGCAACAACUUAACAAAUGUACUACAUUUUUGAAAAAAGUAAAGCCUUCUUCACCCUGUGUGGGUGGACCAAUUCAGUUUGUCCGUGAUGUGUACUCCGAGGAACUUAAAACUUUCUACCCUCUCCACUUACUGUCCC